rnacentral:rRNA from 1 species
UAAGGAAUAUUGGACAAUGGAGGCAACUCUGAUCCAGCCAUGCCGCGUGAAGGAAUAAGGCCCUAUGGGUUGUAAACUUCUUUUAGACGGGACAAAACCCCUUUACGUGUAAGGGGUUGAUGGUACUGUCAGAAUAAGCAUCGGCUAACUUCGUGCCAGCAGCCGCGGUAAUACGUAGGGGGCAAGCGUUGUCCGGAUUUACUGGGUGUAAAGGGCGCGCAGGCGGGAUAAGAAGUCAGUGGUGAAAUCCUACAGCUUAACUGUAGAACUGCCUUUGAUACUUUGAUUCUUGAGUUCGGGAGAGAGAGACGGAAUUCCAGGUGUAGUGGUGGAAUACGUAGAUAUCUGGAAGAACACCAGUUGCGAAGGCGGUCUCUUGGUCCGACACUGACGCUGAGGC